UUUUGAGAUGGAGUUUCACUCUUGUUGACCCACUGCACUCCAGCCUGGGCAACAAGAGCAAAACUCCAUCUCAAAAAAAAAAAAAAAGAAAGAAACAGUGCCGAAAAAUCACAAUGAUUUGAGUUCUUCAAAAACCUUUGAUUGGCUGCAUUGGCUCUGUUCUGCAUAUUACUAGACUUCUUACAUGAUCACAAGUAACCACUAAUUGGUUAAAACCAAAGAGAGAGAGAGAGAGAGUGUGUGUGUGUGUGUGUGUGUUUGGUUGGGGGGUGUUGUGUUAGCUUCCAGGUGAAUGCAUUAUCUGUUAAUCCUGUUUAUUGAUCUGUUUUUAUAAGUGCUCCAUGAUUCUCUGAAAACAGUAUACUAUGUAUCUAAUUUUUGGAUACAGGAUGGACAUACGUACUCAAACUGUGUUUUUCAAUUUGUACUGUAUUUGUUUCUCUCGACCUGACUUAGUGAUAGAGGUAUAUUAAAGUCUUCCACUAGCAUGGUAGAUUAACAAAU
rnacentral:lncRNA from 1 species